rnacentral:tRNA from 1 species
GAGGGUAUAGCUCAAGUGGUAGAGCACAUGCUUAGCAUGCAUGAGGUCCUGGGUUCAAUCCCCACUGCCUCCU